GAUGAACGCUGGCGGCGUGCCUAACACAUGUAAGUCGAACGGAAUUUACAUGAAGCCUAGCGAUUGUAAAUUUAGUGGCGGACGGGUGAGUAACGCGUGGGUAACCUGCCUCGUACUGGGGGACAACAGUUGGAAACGACUGCUAAUACCGCAUAAGCGCACAGCUUCGCAUGAAGCAGUGUGAAAAACUCCGGUGGUACAAGAUGGACCCGCGUCUGAUUAGCUGGUUGGUGAGGUAACGGCCCACCAAGGCGACGAUCAGUAGCCGGCCUGAGAGGGUGAACGGCCACAUUGGGACUGAGACACGGCCCAAACUCCUACGGGAGGCAGCAGUGGGGAAUAUUGCACAAUGGGGGAAACCCUGAUGCAGCAACGCCGCGUGAGUGAAGAAGUAUUUCGGUAUGUAAAGCUCUAUCAGCAGGAAAGAAAAUGACGGUACCUGACUAAGAAGCCCCGGCUAACUACGUG
rnacentral:rRNA from 1 species